UACAGAGGUCUCAAGCGUUGUUCGGAUUCAUUGGGCGUAAAGGGUGCGUAGGUGGCGGGGUAAGUCAGGUGUGAAAUCUCGAGGCUCAACCUCGAAACUGCACUUGAUACUGCCUUGCUCGAGUACUGGAGAGGAGAUUGGAAUUUACGGUGUAGCAGUGAAAUGCGUAGAUAUCGUAAGGAAGACCAGUGGCGAAGGCGGCUCUCUGGGACGGUACUGACGCUGAGACGCGAAAGCGUGGGGAGCGAACAGG
rnacentral:rRNA from 1 species